CAGCCGCCGCGGUAAUACGUAGGUGGCAAGCGUUGUCCGGAAUUAUUGGGCGUAAAGGGCUCGCAGGCGGUUUCUUAAGUCUGAUGUGAAAGCCCCCGGCUCAACCGGGGAGGGUCAUUGGAAACUGGGAAACUUGAGUGCAGAAGUGGAGAGUGGAAUUCCACGUGUAGCGGUGAAAUGCGUAGAGGUGUGGAGGAACACCAGUGGCGAAGGCGACUCUCUGGUCUGUAACUGACGCUGAGGAGCGAAAGCGUGGGGAGCGAACAGGAUUAGAUACCCCGGUAGUCCCUGUCUCUUAUAC
rnacentral:rRNA from 1 species